AUGCUGCUCAUCAAUGAUCAAUUCUUAUUCCAGACAAAAGACCAGCCAAAAACCACCAAGUCCUGUGAGUCUCAGCCCUCCAGACGAACCGAGAUGGAUGAAGGUGACUUGGGAGCCACCAUUCUACAGACAAAAGACCAGCCAAAAACCACCAAGUCCUGUGAGUCUCAGUCCUCCAGACUAACAGAGAUGGAUGAAGGUCACUUGGGUGCCACCAUUCUACAGACAAAAGACCAGCCAAAAACCACCAAGUCCUGUGAGUCUCAGCCCUCCAGACUAACAGAGAUGGAUGAAGGUGACUUGGGAGCCACCAUUCUACAGAAUGAAUCGGGAUCAGGACCUUUAAGAAAGAACGCUGGAAACACUCAUCUUAUAAAUGAUACAGACUUUGAUCAAUCAGAGGCUCCUUACAGCGGUUCUUCACUGCGAACUGAAAGCUGUUUGAUAUGGAGUCCAUCCUCCCCUGAUUGUUCCCUGAGCCUCUCUGAACAUCCAGUGUCAAGCCUGAGAAGGACAAAUAGCAUACUGACGAGCGGUCGCCUUGAUUUUGAUUCAGAUGAGCUAUAUGAUUCGGUUGACAGUGGUGAGGAGAAUAUUCCAAAGAGUGGUCAGGACGACUCUGAAGAUACAGACAAAAGUUCUAUUUGCACAUUUGAUCAGAAAAUGAUGAGAUUUCCAAGCAUAGGCAAGAUGCAAGAACUGGACAACACUUCUUUGAAGCUAACAACUCGAAAAGGGAGAUCACCUGUAAAAAAACGAAGAAGGAUUUGCAGGAGCUCUUCAAAUGGUGCAUCUAAGCCAAUUCAAAUGGGCACUGCUAAUACUACAAAACAGACAGGAGAUGGGGCUACAGGACCAAUGUUGGAAAAUUCUGAAUCAGAUCAAGAGCAAAAUGUCUCUUCCCUGGUUGGAACACCUGGCAGUUCACUUUUCAUACCUGCUGUUUGUAAAAAAGACGAUGGAUCACGAAUGUACAACAAAAAGCAAUACUGUUUGUAUUGUAAGGAAGGAGUUAUAAAAAUGGCAAGACAUUUGGAAGGUGCCCAUAAAGACAAACCAGAAGUUGCGCAGGCUCUGACCUUCCCAAAAUACUCCAAAGAAAGACAAAUGCACAUGGAGAUUUUGAGAAACAAGGGCAAUUUUGCACACAAUGUUGAAGUGAUGAACUCAGGUGUUGGAAGUCUUGUGCCACGUCAGCAGCCUAAGGAAAAAGCUCACGCUGGAGACUUUCUACACUGUGCAUAUUGCCAGGGCUACUUCAUGAGGAAAGUCCUUUCGAAACACAUGAAGCAAUGCAAAUUCAAACCCGACAUUCCUCUGGAACCUGGCAGAACACGUAUCCAGGCCCUCUGUGGCUUUACAGUACCUCCACCAGCUGGAGUAAAGCAGCAGCUGUGGAAUCUGUUGAACAACAUGGUGCAAGAUGAUGUGUUCCAUGCAGUGAAAUCUGAUGCUUGUAUAUUAGAAUAUGGUGAACAUUUGUACAACAGGCUUGGGCAUGAUGUCAGCAAACACGAGUAUAUUCGUCAGAAAUUAAGGGAGCUGGGAAGACUGCUCUUGUGCUCAAGAAAAACCACCCACAUGAGAACAAUUAAAGAGCACAUCAAACCUGCAAAUUUUAUGCACGUUGUCAACGUUGUAAAAGAAUUGGCAGGGUACAGUUCUGAGAAGCAAACCUACAGUUGUCCAAGUCUGGCAUUGAAGAUAGGAUACAGUUUGAAAAAAUAUCCUUGCUGGUUGACAGUAACGACAGUGCUGCAAAAGAGGCUCAAACAUUCCGCAGUGUCUAUAAAGCCAGAUGGAACGAAUUAGUAUCAUCAUCGUCGUCUCUUAGAACUCUUCAGGAGUCCAAGUGGAACACUCCACAGUUGAUACCUUUUACAAAAGACGUCCAGACACUCCACUCCUUUUUGGAUGCUGAGCAACAAGACCUUAUCUGCAGGUUGUCCUCAGACACAUCCCCCCAGACAUAUAUGCAGCUGGCAAAAGUAGUUUUGACACAAGUUACAUUGUUCAAUCGACGCAGAGCUGAUGAAGUGUCAAAAAUUCCUCUCUCUGUCUAUACAUCUCAUAAUGUAUCUGAUCCCCAGGAGGAUGUGAAUGUUGCACUUUCAGAUCUAGAAAAGAGACUGUGUCAGCAUUUCCGAAGAAUAGAAAUCAGAGGCAAACAGGGAAGUAAAGUACUUGUGCUUUUGACUCCAAAAAUGCAACAGGCAUUGGAUCUGCUCACCAGCAAACGGAAAGAAUGUGGGAUUCCUACAGAGAACACAUACCUAUUUGCAAGACCAUCCAGUUUGACUUACUACCGUGCCACUGAUAGUCUUCAGUACUUUGCGAAGGCCUGUGGUGCAAAAAAACCAGAAUGUCUGACUUCAACAAAACUAUGCAAACAAACAGCAACCAUGUCCCAAGUCCUUAACCUUAGUCAUACAGAGUUAGAUCAGUUAACUGAUUUUCUUGGACAUGAUAUUCGAGUGCACAGACAGUUUUACAGAUUGCCUGAGGGAACUCUCCAACUUGCUAAAAUCAGCAAAAUUCUCAUGGCUCUGGAGCAGGGACGUUUGGCCGAAUUUAAGGGCAAGUCCCUUGACGACAUCAACGUUGAUCCAGAAGGUACCGAAUAUAUAUAUAUAUAUAUAUAUAUACAUACAUACAUACUUUUAUUGGUCAGUUGUCAACAAGCUUUCAUUCCGGACUUCUCACACAUGCUCUGUUCAAACUAAUUUUUGUAUCUUAUCUUGUAUUUUGUAUAGUCACACACAUUCACCUUCAUAUUUUACUGUCAAAUUCAUUCAUUUUCACUCCCACAUUCCUCUCACAACCCAUCAUACAUUUAUCUCCCUCUCUUCCACAGAGAGUGUGCCCUUUGACAGUGACCAAGACAGUGACCUUGAGCACUCACUGGGUAAGGCCGCCUCUCCCCUGUAUGAUCCUAAAUCUAUCCAUUCAUGUAUCCUAGGAUGCUAUCCUACAUAUGUAUUUUUAAUACACAGUGUAUGUGUGUGUGUGUUAGUUGAAUUUGACUUAAUUAGUACAAUGAAGUACAAAUAAUGAUGAAACAUAUAUGGUACGGUAUUUGAAGACGAGUCAUUAUGUAUCUCAAAAAGGUUCCAGAUCAGAUUUAAAUGUAGUUUUAAUAUUUUAAGAGCUCAAUAAACUUUCCUUACUAAAAAUAUCACUUAUGAUAUACUGACUGUAUAUCAUAAGUGAGUCAACUAUAAUUGGACUAAUUAUCAUAAUUAAAAGGAGUAUUUGAUACAUAAUGAAAUCUGAAUUUGAUACAUUUUGUGGUGAUUGAUUAAAGAUUUCCUAUUCUGUGUAUUUGACCUGAUCACAUUUUAUGAUUUAGUGUUAAAUUUUACAGUAAAUUUCAAAUAAAUAGCCAGUAGGACGACAUGAUUGCCUAUGAGAUACACUGCAAUGCCAAUGGCAGUCAUUUCUUUGUUUUUUCACUCAGAGCAUCCGGUCACAACUGAGGAGGCGGAGACAGAUGUGAUCACAUCACAGGAGGAGGCAGAGACAGAUGUGAUCACAUCACAGGAGGACACGGAGACAGAUGUGAUCACAUCACUGGAGAACACGGAGACAGAUGUGAUCACAUCACAGGAGGAGGCAGAGACAGAUGUGAUCACAUCACAGGAGGACACGGAGACAGAUGUGAUCACAUCACAGGAGGACACGGAGACAGAUGUGAUCACAUCACUGGAGAACACGGAGACAGAUGUGAUCACAUCACAGGAGGAGGCAGAGACAGAUGUGAUCACAUCACUGGAGAACACGGAGACAGAUGUGAUCACAUCACUGGAACACGGAGACAGAUAUGAUCACAUCACAGGAGGACACGGAGACAGAUGUGAUCACAUCACUGGAGAACACGGAGACAGAUGUGAUCACAUCACGGAGGAACGAGACAGAUGUGACAAUCACAGGAGGACACGAGACAGAUGUGAUCACAUCACAGGAGGACACGGAGACAGAUGUGAUCACAUCACAGGAGGAGGCAGAGACAGAUGUGAUCACAUCACAGGAGGAACGGAGACAGAUGUGAUCACAUCACAGGAGGAGCAGAGACAGAUGUGAUCACAUCACAGGGACACGAGACAGAUGUGAUCACAUCACAGGAGGACACUGUGACGUCUACACAGGCCACAGAUGACGAGCACAAACAACAACAAAAACAGCUGAAAGGAUCCAAAGGUAAAUCUGGUCAAAUUUUGAGGUUGGUUGCCCAAAUGAUACAUAUAAUCAAAAACUAUUAUAAAUUAUUUUGGUAUGUCGAUCUAAAGGGCGACAACAGAGGAAGAGGAAGAGGUGGGACGAGGAUGAGAUUGCUGCUGUGGAGAGGCACAUGAUGUCUUUCAUCACAUCUUGCCAAGUUCCUCGGAAACGUGACUGUUCUAAGUGUAUCAACAAGGAAAAACGGCUCUUAAAAACAGAGAUUGGCGCGCCGUUAAGUUUUAUGUAAAUAAUCGCAUUACAAGUCUGAAAAGGAAAUUUUAAAGCCCUGGUUGGCAAAUGUUCAUGUUUGUUUAGUGGAUAUAAAAGUGCCAUUACUGAGUGCAGUAACUGACGAUGUUUAGUUUUGAGUCAGUAUUUCUUUGUAUUUUGAAGAUCCACCAAACAUUGCAAUAAAUGUUGAUUUCUCAGGCAGUUCUGAAAGUUAUUGGUAUUUUGAUUAACAGAAAUUGGACAAAGACAAUUGUCUUUUGGUUUGUCUAUAUUUGAGUUUUCAUGGCAUUAAGCCGUUGUUCCAUGAUCAUUUAAUUUAAGAUGACUUGUGUUAUAUAUAAUGAUAUUAAACAUAGCAUCUUUGGCGGUAUGAGUAUGAGAGUCAUUUGCGGUGGCCUAGUCAUAGAACUUAAUGAAAGCAACUUCUAACACCAUACUCUGGAUUAAAGUCGUGUUCAGUGGAAAAAAACGUAUACAUGUAUCCUACACAGCAUGGCUACUGACAAAUUAAUUGAUAUCAUGAUCAUUAUCAUUAUAAUGCCUUUGCCUUGCCUUUACUGAGAACAUAAUGAGUUCUUUUUAAUUCAACAUAAAGCAUUUUUACCAGGAAGAAAUACUAAUGUUUCAAGUCAAAUUACAAGGUUAUUAACACAUUGGCCUAGUUUACGGUCAUUUUGGAAAAUUAACUUACACACUCAGUGUAAGUAUGUGUG
rnacentral:lncRNA from 1 species